CAGAGACAGUGCCCAGGCCCUGAGUUCAAGCUCAGGACCCACACAAAAAGAGAGAGAGAGGAAAAAAGCUCAUCUGAAAAAUGAAGCAAAAUGGGUUUAAGUGCUGCUUAGCAAGCAUUUGACCCUAAAUUCAAGCCCCUGCACCCCCCCAUCAAGCACAAUAUGAAGAGACUAGGACUGGCCAAAACAAAUGAUCAAAUUGAACACUAGUGAAAGAUUACAAUAUAUUAAGCUAAGUAGGAAUCUGUAAGCCUGUCCCUGAGGCGGGCAGACUGUGCUGAGGGAAAAUGGUGAAAGGCAUUGAUGCAUGCAAAGCAAAGGGGUGGGGCCCAGAGGGUAGAAGCUCACUGGGCACAGACCCAGGAAUGUGAAAUCCAAGGAUAAGAGUUUCUCUUCAUAAGGUUCUCACUGAUUAAAAAAGAGAAACUUCCCUGCAUGCAGGCAGCGGAGAUGACCAUCAUGGGAUGUAACCCAGGCUAGGUAUUUGGAAUGUUUUGAAACCCUGCCUCAAAAUAACAAAAAGAGAGAAAACUUUGCUGAGGAGCUGCCUUCCAGACAUCAAGGGGCCAAAGGUAAUAGUAGCCAUCACACACUGCCAGUGUGACAGAAAAGGACCCGGGCUUCAGGGUUAUUUUCAGGGGCAUCUUGCCUAAACAUGUAAGUUAAAUGAAAGCAUUAGGAAAUAUCAGACAGCUGGACACAGAGGGAUCAGGAUGAAAUGUGGGGCCUGAGCUUGUCAGCAAUGUCAAGUCCCAGGAGCAGACUGCAGGGUCCUCUGCCAACCACUAGGGCUGACUGUGCAAAGCACUGUAGAGACACUUGAGGAAAGCCUUUUUCUGUUUGGGGAUGCAGUCCCUCCAUGCAUGCUGCCCAGUUGGGCCUGGAGCUCCUAGGCUCCCAUGAUCCUCCUGUUCUGCUCCCAAGGAGCUGGGCUGACAGGUACCACCACAGCAGCUAGACACACCUGAGGACUGAGACAGGGCCUCAAGUGCUCCACUAUCCACAGGAAUCUUAACCUAGAGCAACCAGAGAUGAUGUAGAGUCCACUCUGUGUCCCAUGUUUGUGGGAAGUGAGUGUUGGUGUGAGUCAGUGGGGAGCUGUCACAUGCACAUCUAAUCUUCAAAUGGCUUAGGAAAAGAAAUCAAUAGGUGAACUGGGAAUGUGCCCUAGUGAUAAGAGUGUUUGCUUCCCAUACAUGAAGCCCUGGGUUUAAUUCCUCAGCACCACAUAUAUAGAAAAAACCAGAAGGGGCACUGUGGCUCAAGUGGUAGAGUGCUAGCCUUGAGCAAAAAGAAGCCAGGGACAGUGCUCAGGCC